UACGUAGGGGGCUAGCGUUGUCCGGAAUCUUGGGCGUAAAGCGCGUGUAGGCGGUUUGGUAAGUCCGCUGUGAAAGUCGGGGGCUCAACCCUCGAAUGCCGGUGGAUACUGUCGGGCUUGAGUACGGAAGAGGCGAGUGGAAUUCCUGGUGUAGCGGUGAAAUGCGCAGAUAUCAGGAGGAACACCAAUUGCGAAGGCAGCUCGCUGGGACGUUACUGACGCUGAGACGCGAAAGCGUGGGGAGCAAACAGG
rnacentral:rRNA from 1 species